UCUCUGCUUAAAUUUCUAGAUGCUAUUAAGAUAGUACUAUUAAGACUCAAAGAAGAUUAAGAUUUUUAUAAUGCUUAUUUGUAUUGCUAUGGAUUAGGAUAGUGGGGCAAAAAAUGAAGGGAUGAUUUGCUCCCCCAGACCCAUUUAGUAAAUACAUAUUUGCUAGCCAUGGAAAGACAGCGAGGGCCUCAGGACCUUGGGGCUGUGCAUACGCUAUUCAACAAAGGAAAGACAAGGAGAAGAAUAGGAAGUGCUGUGUUAGAUUCCUGCUGCUAGGGUUAUAUUCCACUGGCCCAUGCCUCUUUUGCCGUGGACCCCCAAAUGCCUGGGCUCAAGCAGUCCCCUUGCCUCAGCCUUUCGAGUAGCUGGGACUACAGGCGUGCACCGCUGCACCCGGCUUUUUGCAUCUAAUUCUAGUUUUCUUUUCUUAAAUGUCUAGAUGCCAUUAAGAUAGUCCUAUUAAGAGUCAGCAUUUGUUUUUAAUUGAUUAUAGAUGUGUAUAACAUGUAAUUUUUAUUUUCCUUUUACUAGAAACUAAUGGCAGAUCCCGGAAAUCCAGACUUGUAUCAUGUAUUAAGUGUUAUCUGGCAAUUAGCUUGUGAGAUUAAGGUUCUGCACAUGGUGAGUAAAAUCCUUCUGUUUAAAAACGUUUUUCUUUAGCGACAGGGUCUCAUUAUGUUGCCCAGGCUGGAGUGCAGUGGCACAAUCAUAGCUUGCUGCAGCCUUGAACUACUGGACUCAAGUGAUCCUCUCACCUUAGCCUCUGGAGUAGCUGGGACUACAGCCAGGCGCCACCAUGCCUGGCUAAGUUUUAAAAUGUUUAAGAAUAUUGCCCAGCCUGGUCUUGAACUCCUGGCCUCAAGUGAUCCUUCUGCCUUAGCCUCCCAGAUCACUGGGAUUACAGGCAUGACCCACUGCACCUGGCUCUAUUUUUUAUUUUUUUAUUUUUUGAGAUGGAGUCUCACUC
rnacentral:lncRNA from 10 species